rnacentral:rRNA from 1 species
CCUACGGGGGGCAGCAGUGGGGAAUAUUGGGCAAUGGGCGCAAGCCUGACCCAGCAACGCCGCGUGAAGGAAGAAGGCUUUCGGGUUGUAAACUUCUUUUACCAGGGACGAAGAAAGUGACGGUACCUGGAGAAUAAGCCACGGCUAACUACGUGCCAGCAGCCGCGGUAAUACGUAGGUGGCGAGCGUUGUCCGGAUUUACUGGGUGUAAAGGGCGCGUAGGCGGGAAUGCAAGUCAGAUGUGAAAUCCAUGGGCUUAACCCAUGAACUGCAUUUGAAACUGUAUUUCUUGAGUGUCGGAGAGG